ensembl:lncRNA
GUUAUUAUCUUUCUUUAUUAAUGUGUCGUGAGUCGGUGUAAAAGGAUCCAGAUGUGUAAUUUUCUUCACACAGGAGGUCCAUACCUAAGUCACCAUGUUUGAGCCUCACGGCGUCGUUAGCAUAAAAACAAUGUGAAAGUUAUAGGAGGAAAUGACAAGUUUUACCACAUCAUCAUCAUCAUGAGUCACUGCGAGGGGAAACCACACAUCUGCAUGAAGUAAAACACGGGGAGAUGCUCUUAUACAAUAUCAGAUGUCUGUGUGUCCUGUGUGUGCAUGCGUGUGUGCGCGCUGCCAUGACUGAGCUCAGACAAAACAAAGACACCUGAUACGAUGUGAAUCUUUGUCAGUUCAUCUGCUCCUCACGUUAGAACAAUGGACCUCACGCUGCUGCCUUCAUUACUUUAUCUUCUCUGUUCUUCAUCACUCGUCCUCCUCAGGGUCGCACACAGAGGGACACACAACCAGUCUCACUCACAUCUUUGUGUGUGGAGUGUGGGAGGAAGCCAGGCAGCCACAGAGAGAACGUGUCAUUUUUAACAACACACAGAUACAGGGGGAGGCCACCUGUGACACACCUGUACCAGACCUGUGAUUGAUUAUUGGGAUAUUAUGUGUGUAACCAGUGACCGGCCGUGCAGCAAGCAGACCGUGGACUCAGGAAGCAAACAUUUAAUGCUGAGCCCUCGCAGGAAAUCCAAACACCGGGAAUUUUAGGAAGACAACGAGACACACAGCCAUGACAUUAUGUAUGAGGGAUAACGAGGGAGAGGCAGCAGGUUGGAGCACAGCUGAGGAUAACUAAUAAUGACUCAGGAGAAAGUUAAACUGAAGACAGACACAGAACAGCAACCACCAAAAUACAACGGGGAGACAGAAGCAACUGAACGAGGAGAAUCCAAAAUCAAACAAUGCAAAAGGUUAAAGUAACUUGAAGAUAUAAAAAUGAAAAACAAGACCCUUAAACCCAAAAACUCAAACCUGGGCCCAGACCAGCAGACCAAAGCAAAGAACAAACCCUUCACAUCUGUCUGGGCCGUGCUGGGCUCUGAGGGUGUAAGAAUGAGCUCAGGAUGAAACUAAAAUAACCGGGAUAAAACUGAAAGCACUUCGUGUGUGACGACAGCCACACGAGCUCAGUGUGUGGAUCACUAUUAUUAUCACAUUCACACCAACGUGUUGCCAACACAGAUGUCUGCUGAGGGCCUCUGUGAAAGUGACUGGCUUUAAUAUUAAACACUUCACACAAAUGAAUGUACAUCAUUUUGUGAUGUUAAAUCAGCUGAUAAAAACUAAGGACUGAUUAUUUUUUUGUUUAUUUCGUUUUUGCUGACAACAUGUUUAAUAAAAAGAGGGCGCAGGUUUAAUAA